UGGCUCACGAUUUUGGAUUGAAGAUGUGACAAUUAAUAUGAUAUCAAGCAUAAGUAGAUAAAUUGUGACACGUAGAAACAGAUAUAGGAUGAGUGUAGAUGGGUAGACACUAGGGAUAUUAGAACAUAGAUCUAUGAUGAUUGCAAUAUAAGUUGUCUUCAUGAUUUUAACUAAAUCUUAUUAUUAUGAAUAAAACGAUCACUAGAGAAUAUGUUUAUAGGGUUUUAUAUGAUGGAUAAUCUGGAGA
rnacentral:lncRNA from 1 species